CUUCUGGAUAGACAGAUAUUCAACCAUCUGUCACAGGCAUUGUUUACAAGGUGGCCAAGUCGCUCCUUUGCCUCUAGUAAGAGCUCUUGCAGAAGCACCGAGCACAAUUAACUGCAGAAAUGGAAGAGGUAAAUGAAAGGGGAAGAACCAAGAGAGAAGUUAAAAUGGACUCUUCAGCAAAUAACUAUCUGAUUAGGGAAUCUCUUGUACUGUGAGUUAGAUCAAAAGAAAAUUCACCCUUGCUGCCCAUCCAUUGACUUCACUGGAGACAGGCCCAACUCUUUGGCAGAAGAUGUGUGUGUUCUUCAGGACUGGAGGAGCACAACAUUGCUGAGGCACUGAGGAGAACAGAGAUAAACAGCUCUUCAUACAGCCCAAGGUAAAGAGUGAGGUUUCAAAAGUAGUGGUGGUCCUGUCGUGAAAAGAUAUCAGGGUACAGCACAUUUUUCUGCAUCCAUUGUGUUUUGUUUGCUGAUAAAAGGCCUCUGUGAGAUACUACAAAUGGACACGCAGCCCCACCAUGUCUUUCAAUGCAAGCAGCAACUUGGAGGAGUCCUUUCCACUGCUGCUUCGGUGCUUCAUCUUUACAGAGCUUGUUUCAGAGGAACGCCAUAUGGUCUCAUCUAUUAAUGAUUCUGAAGCUCUUUUAUCUGUGGAGGAAAGGCUUUAUAAUGACAACUAUAAUGCUGCAAUCCUAUAUUAAUCUCUGGAUGUCCGGUACAGAUGGGACUAGAAUUUGUGUGCGUUAUCCAGUUUAAUAAAGAGCUAUGCAGUGUUCUCAGCAGAUCCCUGGGUGACCUUUCUGGCUUUAACAAAUGAUCUAUCCAGGUUUGUUAUGUUUAAGCAGCACCAUCUUCUACUAAUAUUUUCUCCUUGACUGGCAACCAAACUUACUCAAGCAGAGGAAGUUGUAUCUGUUUAAUAUUCCUAGUCCUGCCCCGUUUAGCCCCCAACCCUGUAAUCAAACUCUCAUUGCAGAU